GAUUGAUAAUAGCGACAAUAAGGCUGAAACGGGAACCUCGCAGCCUGAGCCUUCACCGAGGACCGGAUCUGAGGAAAGCCAGCCGGGAAAUGGACCAGACUGCUUCGGAACAGGAGGGGGAACAUGAUUUGGAUAAACACAUCUUGUAAUGCACACCUGCCAAAGCAUAAUGGGACACAUGCAUGAAAUGCCUGAUGGGAUGUUGCUGUUGACACCAAAGUACCUGGCCUCUCGUACAUUUCCAGUGACCCCAGUGAAGGGAAGGCCUCCUGCUGCUUACCUGCCAAAAGGGCAGAGUGGGAGCCAGAAGAGGGUGACAAAAUGUAAAUCAACCCGUCCAUCUGUGGCCUUCCAGUCUAUUUCCAACCAUCGCGCGGAAGAUAGAACAAACAAAGCAUCAGGGUCCUCUGAGCAUGUUCAGGCUCCUUCAUCUUCGAACAUUUCACAAUUUGUUGCUCCGAAGGGAAGAUGAUGCAACGUAGAAGGAGAUAUCCCGAGUUGUAUUACAAGAUCAAAACACAAUUGGUACUUUUAGGACCUCGUGUUUGUAGGCAAAAAUAAGCAGGAAAUAAAGUGUGUGCCACCUUUGGCUUUGAUUGGUCCAGUCAAACACAUUUUUAAAUGUAAAGUAAUACACAAUUUUAUAUAUUCUAGAUACUGUAGAUAUCUAGAUACUGUAGUAACACAUUACCUCAGUGAGUUUGCCCCUCUCACUCCUGAUAAAUUAGGACCUGUAAUCUCUAAGAGGAUUAACCACCUACCCUGUGAACACAUGCACACACACACACACACACGCACACACACACACACACACACACACACACACACACACACACACACACUGUCCACUGUCACACGCAAACAGGCGUUUAGUGUUCUUUUUACAUUGCCUACCCUAAUAUGAACCGACCCAGUGUCUCUCCCUGUGACACAGUUUGGGCUGCCUGAUUCACAGUUAUUAUCUUAUUGUUGUGAAGAAACUUUUUUAUCCUUCUGCUAAAUCAGAUACAUUUGAAUAUUUUUUGCUCACUGUUUGAUACAUUGGCUCUAAAUUACACUAAUAGUUGCUUUAUCUAUUUUUGUUUUUAAAGGGGGCAAUGUGCCUUUAACAAGCAGCAAAUAGUCAGGUGACUUGGCGGAAAAAAUGCUACAAUGCAGAAAGAAGUUUCUGCACACUCAGUUGUCGGAGGAAAGAGCUUGUAGUUAAAGAUCAAGAGAGCAAGAAAGAGGGAGACACGCUCUCAAAUAGCAUUGUUUCACCGGGGGAGUAAGAAAGCAAAAACAAGGAGAGGACACACAAUGCUGUGUGGCCUUCAUACUAUACACUGUCUAUAAGAAGUUACUCUGUACACUUGCCGUGCAUUGUCUUUAAUACUGACUAAUCUUUAUUUGGUGGACAUUGUUAAAACAAUGAUGAAGGCCAUCAUACAUGCCCAAAUGUGAUUAUCAGUGGUGGGUAUAUAACCAAUCAGUAAAGCUGCUGUUGUUUUGUAAGACAAAACUUUAAAGUAGCAGUGAAGAGGAUUAGGUUGUGACCCGAAAGACACAUGAAUGUUCUGGAUUAGUUGCUACGUCACCUUUCCCCAUCAACAGGACAACAGUGUCUGAGACGCUGACAAGGCAGAUAACAUCAGUCCUUUAAUACCAGACCUGCAAAUAGAAUCCAGCGAGUUUACCACAUUAGUUGUCUGUGUGUAUGCUGUCAUCUCGAUAGAAAAUAGGAACAGGAAUAGUGACAGAGAAAGUAUUAAAUGAGCUCUCUAUAGACAUUCUCCACUGCAUGUCUCAGCAUAGAACGACAGGGGUUCGUGCUAAUGAUCCUUACCUAUUUCAGGAGCUGCUUUUUUUGCUUCUUGCACCACAUUCAACCCCAAUAGGACCAGGAACAGGACUGCAGGCCUGAAGGUGGAGCCAGGAGAGGACACAUUAUCCUAUUGUGCAUUACAAAGAAGUCUACAGGGAGCUGCAAGGAUCUAUUUUUCCACAGUAUGAUUCACAGACAGUUUUUGUUGGAGUUCAUCUCUGGUGCCAGUCUGCUGCCGUGUCUUUUCUUACUCUGAGAUCUUGAUCAUCUGAUGCACUUAUGCAAGAGACUGAGCUGCUGUGUCACUCUACAGGAUCUGACCAUGACUCAGUGGUUAUUCGACCGUGGUGCCAGCCAAGCGUCUGCAUCGACGUCUCUGUUUACGCCUGUCUCUCUCUUUGGAAAUAACUCUUAAUUGUUUUUAAAGGAUAAUAUGAUCAGCGCAAAUAAGAGCCUAUAUGAAUAAACUUAAAUGUAUCCAUCAACAGACUUGAUUUACAACAUGAUUUAUAUAGUCUGUAAAAUGUAGUGUCUGCAAACCCCCUGCAUACAAUCGAGGGCAACGUCACCAACAAACUGCAGAUGUUUUCAUAGGCAAAACAAGUAUUAGAGUGUGUGUCUAAGGAAUCUGUUAUCUUAAUCUCAUAGCCAUGAAAAAAACACUUCUGUGUCCUGAAGAGCUGGAUUUUUAUUGCCUGUGUAAAUUCACAGUUAAGUUUUACGUCUACCUGCCUGUACUGCAUCGUUUGUUAUGCUUUCAUGCUAUUACCAUACCUUGUCUCAUGUUCCGUUAUAUUCAUUGGUAUAUUGUUGUUGCAGAUGAUGGCUCUAUAAUGAUAGUAUUGUUUGAAAGCAUAUUCAUCUCUACGAAGCAAAGCAGUUUGAAAAUUAAGUAGUAAAAGUAUAGUAGUAUAAAUUGAGAUGACAUUCCUUCACACAUGGAUUUACCAUAUUGUAACCAGUAAAAGGGUCAGUCACUAUUGUUGAUAGUAUACGAUUAUUUUAGUUAGUGAAAACUAUUGAUUUAUUUAAUUGUAAUAACAUUGAGGCAUCAGAUGUCUGAUCAUGUGUUUUAUCCCACCAUAAUUUAAGUCAAUCAAUGAAAGCACAUGUUCAAAAGUUCUUAUUUAGUAAUGAUUUUUCUUCUUUUUAA